AUACGGAUGGUGCAAGCGUUAUUCGGAAUCACUGGGCAUAAAGAGCACGUAGGCGGCAGCAUAAGUCAGUGGUGAAAUCCCUCAGCUCAACUGGGGAACUGCCAUUGAUACUGUGCGGCUAGAAUGCGGGAGGGGCAGACGGAAUUCCAGGUGGAGCGGUGAAAUGCGUAGAUAUCUGGAGGAACGCCAGAGGCGAAAGCGGUCUGCUGGCCCGAAAUUGACGCUGAGGUGCGAAAGCUAGGGGAGCAAACGGGAUUAGAUACCCUAGUAGUCC
rnacentral:rRNA from 1 species